rnacentral:rRNA from 3 species
CUGAUCCCAUCCCGAACUCAGUAGUGAAACGAUGUAUCGCCGAUGGUAGUGUGGGGUUUCCCCAUGUGAGAGUAGGUCAUCGUCAAGA